rnacentral:rRNA from 1 species
UAGGGAAUCUUCCGCAAUGGGCGAAAGCCUGACGGAGCAACGCCGCGUGAGUGAUGAAGGUCUUCGGAUCGUAAAACUCUGUUAUUAGGGAAGAACAAAUGUGUAAGUAACUAUGCACGUCUUGACGGUACCUAAUCAGAAAGCCACGGCUAACUACGUGCCAGCAGUCGCGGUAAUACGUAGGUGGCAAGCGUUAUCCGGAUUUAUUGGGCGUAAAGCGCGCGUAGGCGGUUUUUUAAGUCUGAUGUGAAAGCCCACGGCUCAACCGUGGAGGGUCAUUGGAAACUGGAAAACUUGAGUGCAGAAGAGGAAAGUGGAAUUCCAUGUGUAGCGGUGAAAUGCGCAGAGAUAUGGAGGAACACCAGUGGCGAAGGCGACUUUCUGGUCUGUAACUGACGCUGAUGUGCGAAAGCGUGGGGAUCAAACAGG